UCCUCUGAUGCUUCCCUCGGCGGGGAA
rnacentral:piRNA from 1 species